UGGGGAAUAUUGUGCAAUGGGGGAAACCCUGACACAGCGACGCCGCGUGAGUGAAGAAGGUCUUCGGAUCGUAAAACUCUGUCAUCGGGGACGAAGAUGACGGUACCCGAAGAACAAGCCACGGCUAACUACGUGCCAGCAGCCGCGGUAAUACGUAGGGGGCGAGCGUUGUCCGGAAUUACUGGGCGUAAAGGGCGUGUAGGCGGCCUGUUAAGUCAGGGGUGAAAGACCGGGGCUCAACCCCGGGGGUGCCUCUGAAACUGGCGGGCUUGAGUGCUCUAGAGGGCAGUGGAAUUCCCGGUGUAGCAGUGAAAUGCGUAGAGAUCGGGAGGAACACCAGUGGCGAAGGCGGCUGCCUGGGGAGUCACUGACGCUGAGGCGCGAAAGCUAGGGGAGCAAACAGG
rnacentral:rRNA from 1 species